GGCUCUUUGAUUAUAUAAUAUAAAGAGUCGGACCUGCCCAGUGAGAUAUAUCUUUAACGGCCGCGGUACUCUGACCGUGCAAAGGUAGCAUAAUCAUUUGCCCCAUAAUUGGGGGCUAGUAUGAAUGGUUUGACAAGAGCAAAUCUGUCUCUAUACAAUUUUAUAGAAUUUAAUCUUCAGCUGAAGAAGCCUGAAUUUAAUUAAAAGACAAGAAGACCCUAUCGAGCUUAAAAAACAUUGUAGGGUGUUAGAUAUAUUAUAUAAAUUAAUUUCCUAUGAGAAUUUUGGUUGGGGCGACUAAGGAACAGGUAAAGCUUCUUCUUAUUAAAAAGUAGGCACACAAUGAUCCAGAAAUUCUGAUUAAAGGAAUUAGUUACCGUAGGGAUAACAGCAUAAUCUUUUUUAAGAGUUCUUAUCGAAAAAAAGGCUUGUGACCUCGAUGUUGGACCAGAAUAUCCUAAAGAUGCAACCGUCUUUAAGGGUUGGUCUGUUCGACCAUUAAAAUUCUACGUGAUCUGAGUUCAGACCG
rnacentral:rRNA from 1 species